GCGUCAGUAGUGAGACGGUUAGAGCACGCGCUCGUGGAAAGAGUGAGGUGCGGAUUCAAGUCCUGCCUGACGCG